rfam:Schistosoma mattheei strain Denwood, Zambia genome assembly, scaffold: SMTD_scaffold0006904
GCACUGCUGAGGAGUCCCACAAUAGGACGAAACGGCCGUCCAGUGN